rnacentral:hammerhead_ribozyme from 1 species
AUCCCGCUGACGAGUCCCAAACAGGACGAAACGCGCGUGCUGGAU